rnacentral:rRNA from 1 species
UAGUUGGUAAGGUAACGGCUUACCAAGGCGACGAUCAGUAGCCGACCUGAGAGGGUGAUCGGCCACAUUGGAACUGAGACACGGUCCAAACUCCUACGGGAGGCAGCAGUGGGGAAUAUUGCACAAUGGGCGAAAGCCUGAUGCAGCAACGCCGCGUGAGUGAUGAAGGCCUUCGGGUCGUAAAACUCUGUCCUCAAGGAAGAUAAUGACGGUACUUGAGGAGGAAGCCCCGGCUAACUACGUGCCAGCAGCCGCGGUAAUACGUAGGGGGCUAGCGUUAUCCGGAUUUACUGGGCGUAAAGGGUGCGUAGGCGGUCUUUCAAGUCAGGAGUGAAAGGCUACGGCUCAACCGUAGUAAGCUCUUGAAACUGGGAGACUUGAGUGCAGGAGAGGAGAGUGGAAUUCCUAGUGUAGCGGUGAAAUGCGUAGAUAUUAGGAGGAACACCAGUUGCGAAGGCGGCUCUCUGGACUGUAACUGACGCUGAGGCACGAAAGCGUGGGGAGCAAACAGGAUUAGAU